rnacentral:lncRNA from 1 species
UAUCCUAUUUUUCAAAACAUAUUUUCAGGCAUUUCAUUCACAUUUUAAAAUUUCAAAUACUAAAAUUAUUGUUUUUAUAAAACAACAAAGCAUGUAAAUUUCAACUACUAAAAUUAUUAUUUUUAUAGAAUAAACAAAGCAACAUACACUUAUCUUCCAUUUACUAAUUCAACUAUUACAAUCACCCCAAUAUUUUGUUCACCUACCAAUAAUUCAUUCCAUGUAGGUGACUCUAAAAAAAAAAGUCAUAUUUAUAAUACCCUUUACGACUCUAAUACCAAUAUUCUAUUCUAUUUAGGUGACUCAAUACAAAGAAAGUGGGAAUGUUUUCUUAGGUUAACCGAAGAAAACCCUAAAUAACUUAAGUACUUUUGGAUUAAUUGAGUAUCAUCUUGUAGUAGAUGUCAAUCUCUAUUGUUAGACUUCACCAAAAAGCUCCUAGCACGGUGGAAAAAAAAGUAUCAAAUAUGGUCAAGUCUUCAAUAAAAUACUAUUUCAUGCGAAAAAUUACUACAAACUAGUGUAUCUCUCAUUCUCAAUUAGACAAAAUUUUUAAAAAUAAUUCAUUUUUCUUGUUUUCAUUUGUUUUGGGGCUUAUUAGCAAUGAAACAAAAAAUAUGUUAGAAUGUUAAACCUAGUUUUUACUUCCUUGGAACUCGAUAAAAAACACCAUUUACAAAACCCACAUCAUAGAUAUACUAAAUCAAGAGAUAUAAAACAAUUAUACUAACAAAGUUUUUUGCAUUAAUAAAAAAAAUGAAGAUGGUAGAUAAGAGAUUUUGACUUACCCGAGAUUUUAUGAAGCAAAGAAUAUCAAUUAUGGGUGUGCCGACCAUGGGCGUGCCAACCAUAGGCGUGAGAAGAAGGAGAAGAAAACGAUGGUUAGGGUUAAGCAAUAAGAUCUUUUAUAUUAGUUAAUGUAUAUAUGGAAACAAUGGACUUUUCAUAAAUUGUUCCUACUCACUAUUUUUAAAAAGGGCCCAUUGAGUUAUAAAAUUUAAAACUUUUUAUUUCAUAUGGUGUCACUUCCAAAAAAUGACACCGUAAAUAUGAAAUUAGCAUUAUCUAACUAUCUUAAUUGAAGAUUUUUUAUAUGAUGU